GGGUAAGACUCCUUAUAGAACAUGAGGUUGAUAGGUCAGAAGUGUAAGUACAGUAAUGUAUGUAGCUGACUGAUACUAAUAAGUCGAGGGCUUGAACUG
rnacentral:rRNA from 1 species